UGAGUGUACUCCUUUACUUCGGACAAUUUUACAACCAAGAUAAACCCCAGUUUUAGUGGAAUAGAAUUGGAUUCAAGUAAAGAAGCUGUACGUCCCAAAGGGGUUCUGACUUGAUGGGGCAGAAGACAUGGCAUUGGAGAAGUGAUUUGGUGAAACCAUGUGGGUUUAGACACAAUGAUCUCAUACAGCAGGGCACCCACCCAAUAGGCAAUGAUACUCUUGGAUGGGUGGAGUUCAAAGUGCUACAGAACAGAAAAGAAGACAAAAGAGUCAAACAGGGAAAUUGUGUUCUGUCAAGAGGAUGAAAGAAAUUACAUCAUGUCUGAAGAAAAUGGAUGGGCCUGGAGUUUAUUAUGGUACUUCAUGGGAAGACACCAAGGCCUGAAACUAUUGCUGAUGCUAUGAUGUGCUUACAGACAGGAUUGGAUAGCAUGACUCUUCUGAGUGACCCAACCAUCAGCUGACAGAAAGAUGCAGAUACUUACAUACAACCAUUGGACUGAAGUCAAGACCCCUAUGGUUGAAUUAGGGGAAGGAUAGAAGAAGCAAAUGAGGAAGGCGGCCCCAUAGGAAGACCAGCAGUCUCAACUUACCCAUACCCUUGGGAGGUCCCAGACA